AGGCCUAACACAUGCAAGUCGAGCGGCAGCACAGAGUAGCUUGCUACUUGGGUGACGAGUGGCGGACGGGUGAGUAAUGUCUGGGAAACUGCCCGAUGGAGGGGGAUAACUACUGGAAACGGUAGCUAAUACCGCAUAACGUCGCAAGACCAAAGAGGGGGACCUUCGGGCCUCUUGCCAUCGGAUGUGCCCAGAUGGGAUUAGCUAGUAGGUGGGGUAACGGCUCACCUAGGCGACGAUCCCUAGCUGGUCUGAGAGGAUGACCAGCCACACUGGAACUGAGACACGGUCCAG
rnacentral:rRNA from 1 species